rnacentral:rRNA from 1 species
UCCUGGUGAUUUAGCUUGGUGUGUCCCACCUGAUACCAUUCCGAACUCAGAAGUGAAAGCGCCAAACGCCGAUGAUAGUCUUUUGAGGCGAAAGUAGGCUUCGCCAGGAU